GAACCUGCAGAGCGUUGUUAGAAACAAUUGUCAGUGAACUUGGGCACUAUUGGGAGGACCUUUAUGCAUGAACUAGUCACACAUUCACCAUGGAUUUUGAUCGUCUAACAUCGUUUUCUGACAAAGGAUAUUGUGCUUGCAAAUCUGUGCAAAGUAUUGUCACAGAUGUUGAGCACUCAGCUUUGUCAUUGGUAAUAGUUUCAAGGUGGAAGCUUAGUGUCUGGUCAUUUGCAGUGACCUGAUGGGUACAAAUUAUCGAGCAAGUAUUGGGAGGUCUGUAAUGCUCCAACAAAUCUAAUUUUGAUCUACAAUUAGAACGGAGUAGAACUCUAUUUUAGGCGUCACUAAAUAAGUGACAAUGUUUAGCUUUUAGCAAAAUGAUGGCAGUCUGGCUAACAAUUGCAGUUCAUCUAUAAUGAUUGAGGAUGUGUCUUAGCAAUGUAUUGAUUGUCUUUUAUAUCUUCUCUUCGGGGUGUGGUUUUUAGUGACAUGAUUUGGGCCAACAAUCUCAAUGUGUACUAGAGCUUGAAUUUAGAGAACCUAUUGAUAUAGUCGUGUCUUGGAAGUUUCUGUAAAGGAACCAAAUACUUGUACAUCAGAGAUAUCUUGAAACACCUGUUGUAUGGUUUUGUUGCUUCAAUUCCUCUUACUUUGAUGAGCUUUUGUUAGACACAUAUUGAACACUUGCAAAGGGCAUGGCUAGAGCCUAGAGGAUCUGCUAAGUAUGAGGAAUGAAAAAAUUGAACGUACCCAUACUGGACAUGGGUGUGUAUCCAGCACCCAUACCUGAGUCUUGAGUAACAUGUAUUGCAGAAGCAAAUAAUUGUGGAGUUUGAACUGUUCCUUGUUUCCAUGUGAUUGACAGGCCUUAGGGUCGCAAUCCUUUUUUGUUGCAAGAAAAUUUUAAGGAAGUUUUGUUCUGAUGGAAGAAUUAUUGUAAGAGUAAUAAUUAUCUGUUGUAUGCUUGUCAUGCAGUCACUUAUGCCUCAACUUUGUUCUUCUGUUCUUGAAAUGGCUACCACUACCACUUGAAAUGCGAUUUUAUUAGAUCUGCAAGGUGGAAGUAAAUAUGUGACAAUCUUUAACUGAGCCCAUUUGACUCCUUUUUCAACAACGGUGAGCCCAUUUACAACUUGAGUUGCCUAUCAACACAAAUACAACUUGAAUUGCCUAUCGACACAAAUGAGUUAUCCGGUGAUGAUGGCUUGAACUUCAGAUGUAGAAACUCGUUGAAAUCUGUCCUACAUGCGUACAAGAAGUUAAAGGCCUGCUAUUCUCUUCUUUCCUCCCUUAAGUAACCCUAUCUUUUCUUUUCUGCUAUGGCUAUCCUAUUUUUCUGAUAUCCAGCUGGGUCAGUGAGAUGCUUCUGUUUAAUUAUAGUUCUGCGCUGUUAGUAUAACAUGAGCAGAACUGGAAUAUCUAGAUAACUGAUUGCUGACGAAGAAUAUGGCUUGGUAUUACAAAGUAUAGUUCUGAUGUUUCUUCAAAGCUUUCAAGCCUUUAUCAUUCAAGUACAGAGAGGUAAGAGAUCCCAGAAGGCUUCCUUUUCAGUUUUAAAGAAUUUGUUAGGUUGGGUGAAGAAAAUUACACCCAGAAAAAAAGGCUGGGGAAAGAAAAGGAGAGAAAAAGGAAAGAGGGAGGAGGGGUGGCACAAGUAGCAAUCAGUGACAUCACAUUGUCAAUCAUCAGUGUUGGAGUCCAUUUUUUCUUAUUUAGUGCAGUGUUUUAUCGUUGUAAUUUUGGUGAGAUGUGCCUUGCGUGGUGCAAAAACACCUGAAGGGAGGAGUCCCUUCCAGAAUCUCAAGACAUGGGAUUAAGCAAUUUCUGACCAAAUGUGUGCUGUGAUUUGUUUCCACAGAUCUUCAAGCCUGGGUGAACUCGAGGCACAGAAUCCUCAAUCCCCGAAGAAUCUAUGGGCACUAGGACUUUACUACACUUUCCCCAUGUCGUAAUUUUUGAAAGAGUCGCCUCGGGCGGCCUUUGUCCUUGAUGGUCCUGAACUGUGAUAUUAUCUAGGACCUAGCCUGUAUCUAUUAAGAAUUAAACCAAGACCGAUAAUUAAAUUCUACCUCUUAUGUUUUCCA